UUCUUUUACUCAUCGAAGCUCAGUGUGAACGGCAGCAGAUAGAAAGUGAAAUUAAAAGCAAAAGUUUAAAAGAGAAGUACAGUAAGGUAUAAGUGAAAGUAGAGUGAAAAACAGGAAAGAUUUGAAAGGCGGUAAGACAGUAUUAUUUGGCAAAGAGCCACGACUGGCAGCAAGGGCGAACAAAAGGGUACAGCCCACCAAAUUGUAAGAACAGUUAAAUUUAAUCACGAUUGUAACGCCAACUAACAUAAUUUUAUUAACUUAUAGUUGAAGCUAAAUACAACUUUUACGCUACAAAACGGCCUUUUCCCUUCGCCCUACAACCUCGACACUCUUGUAUCAAAAUAUUCCAAUUGCCAGAGAAUAUCAUGGAGAUUCAUACACCGAACACACCUGCAAAGUUUCGUUCAAAUCUACGAUGGUCAUAUUUUGCGGUCGGCCGGUUUCUCAUGGAAUCCCUCAGUACCAGGAAUAAACCAUGGGAUACUGGCCGACAGUGUUUCAAGCAGAAAUAUAUGCCAUUCUAGAAAGCACUAACAUAUGUCUGAAGAAAAAAUACCGGAAAUUCUGGAGUUGCAGGGAACGAAAAAGCCGAUGAAUUAGCAAGAAGUUAACAUUCUGUGGAGUCUCAUCGAGUGUCCUCAAAAUGGAACUGAAAAAGUGGGAAAUCACAGCUAUAAAGAACAAUUGGAGUACCACACCUGGACUACGACAAUCAAAGAAGUUUAUCUCACCCAACGAGUUGAAAGCCUGGAGUUGCUUAGACUAAACAACAAAGAACUAAGCAUCAUGACAGGACCACUGUCCGAGUAAAUAUCAUCCUAAGAAAUGUGGUAAGCUUUCAAACGAUACAUGCCGCGUCUGCGGAUCUGAAAGUGAAACAUCAGAGCAUUUGCUCUGCGAAUGCAGUGCAUUGAUAAACCCAUCGAUUACCGCAUACAAAUUCAAAUCGCUAUAACUUUCGGUUCCGUCAAUGAAAUAUUUUAAAACUUGCAGGGGAUAUAGUUUAACACUAUAUCUUUCGAAUGCUAUCUACCAAAUAAGUAGACAAAUAUGACUUGUUUAUAAAGAUAAGACAAAACCUGUGGGUGUAUGCUGGUAGCCUUAUGAAACGUGUCAUCAAACUUCAAAUCGCUAUAUCUUUCGAAUCUCUCGAUGGAUCAUUUUGAAAUUCACUGAGAAGAUUCUUCGAUACUGUACCUUUCGA